AUGGUGCGACUCCUCCUAAUCGUAGCCGCCGCCGUGCUGCUGUCCGCGGCCGGCGCGACGGCCCAGCAGAAGGGCUGCGAGAACGCGACGUUCCCGGCGGGCAGGUCCUUCGAGCGGUGCAACACCCUGCCCGUGCUCGGGGCCAGCUUGUACUGGACGUACCACGCGGCGAACGGCACCGCGGAGCUCGCGUUCCGCGCGACGUCGGGCAGCGCCGGGUGGGUCGCCUGGGGCAUAAACCCCAGCGGCGCCGGCAUGCCCGGCAGCAACGUGUUCGUCGCCUCCCAGAACGCCAGCGGCGUGUCGGUGCUCAUGACCGUCCUGAAGAGCACGGCCCCGGCCCUGGACAACACCACCCUCCAGUUCGACGUGCCGGUGCCGCCCACCGCGGAGUACGCGGCCGGCUACACGAUCUACACGACGGUGGCGCUGCCGGGGAACUCCACGCAGCAGAACACGGUGUGGCAGGCGGGGCCGCUCAGCGGCGGGGCCAUAUUGCCGCACCCGACAUCCGGGCCCAACUUGCAGAGCCUUAUGAGGCUGGACUUUCUCUCCGGCUAG
rnacentral:rRNA from 1 species